rnacentral:tRNA from 1 species
CAAGAUAUAAUUUAAACAGAAUACUAGCUUUGGGGGUUAGUUGUGGGGGUUAAAUUCUCUCUAUCUUGA